rnacentral:rRNA from 1 species
CUACGGGGUGCUGCAGUGAGGAGUAUUGCACAAUGGGGGGAACCCUGAUGCAGCAACGCCGCGUGGAGGAUGACGCAUUUCGGUGUGUAAACUCCUUUUAUAUGUCAAGAAAAUGACGGUAGCAUAUGAAUAAGCACCGGCUAACUCCGUGCCAGCAGCCGCGGUAAUACGGAGGGUGCAAGCGUUACUCGGAAUCACUGGGCGUAAAGGACGCGUAGGCGGGUUGGAAAGUCAGGUGUGAAAUCCUACAGCUUAACUGUAGAACUGCACUUGAAACUUCUAAUCUAGAGUAUGGGAGGGGGAGAUGGAAUUAGUGGUGUAGGGGUAAAAUCCGUAGAUAUCACUGGGAAUACCUAAAGCGAAGGCGAUCUCCUGGAACAUUACUGACGCUAAGGCGUGAAAGCGUGGGGAGCGAACAGGAUUAGAUACCCGAGUAGUC